rnacentral:misc_RNA from 1 species
GAUGAAGAACGUAGCGAAAUGCGAUAAGUAAUGUGAAUUGCAGAAUUCAGUGAAUCAUCGAAUCUUUGAACGCACCUUGCGCCCUUUGGCUAUUCUGAAGGGCAUGCCUGUUUGAGUAUCAUGAACACCUCAACUCUCAUGGUUUGCCAUGAUGAGCUUGGACUUUGGGGGUCUUGCUGGCCUACGGUCAGCUCCUCUCAAAUGAAUCAGCUUGCCAGUGUUUGGUAGAGUCGCAGGUGUGAUAACUAUCUACGCUUGUGGUUUUCUGCCAGAUAACCUUCAGUGAUGGAGGUUCGCUGGAGCUUAUAAAUGUCUCUCCCCAGUGAGGACAGCUUUUUGAACGUUUGAUCUCAAAUCAGGUAGGACUACCCGCUGAACUUAAGCAUAUCAAUAAGCGGAGGA